GAUGAACGCUAGCGGCAGGCCUAAUACAUGCAAGACGAACGGUAAGUUGAGUAGCAAUACUUAGCCAAGAGUGUCGUACGGGUGCGUAACACGUAUGCAACCUACCCUAUACAGGAGGAUAGCCUAGGGAAACCUGGAUUAACCCUUCAUAGUAUUAUUGGAUGGCAUCAUUUGAUAAUUAAAACUGAGGUGGUAUAGGAUGGGCAUGCGUCUGAUUAGUUAGUUGGCGGGGUAAUGGCCCACCAAGACGAUGAUCAGUAGGGGUUCUGAGAGGAAGAUCCCCCACACUGGCACUGAGAUACGGGCCAGACUCCUACGGGAGGCAGCAGUAGGGAAUAUUGGUCAAUGGAUGCAAGUCUGAACCAGCCAUGCCGCGUGCAGGGAAGAAGGCCUUCUGGGUUGUAAACUGCUUUUGCCAGGGGAUAAAAUUUCCAUGCGUGGAAAACUGAAGGUACCUGGUGAAUAAGCCACGGCUAACUACGUGCCAGCAGCCGCGGUAAU
rnacentral:rRNA from 1 species